rnacentral:lncRNA from 1 species
AGAAGCAUAUCAAAAUAAAAAAGUAUAUUUUUGCAUAUGUCUAUUGGUACGUAUACGCCAGUAUUUUGAGCGGUUGGCCUUUUAGAGUCCCUGUAUUUGUUGAAUUAUGUAACUCAACCAUGACGAUAUCUCACUUACAUGAAUAUUGAAACUUAUGUUUUACUGUUUUCCCCCUUAACAGUGUUCUGAACGAUGAUUCAUAUAAUUUUAAUAAGCUAUCGUUAAGCAGUGAAUAAUUCCUAAUGUCUAUUAAAUAAUAAUUCCAACACAUGACUGAUUUGGGACCUUUUUAUUUAUGUCACUUUUUAGAAGAAAAGUUAUACUUUACUGAGAUACAAUAAAGAUAAUGGCGUGCAACUUAUCCUACAAAAUUUUAAAACAAUGUAUUGCUCAUAAAACGUUUCAAUCCCAUUUUAACAUGCUGUGACAUAAAAUUUUAUGUGUGAAUGAACAUUUUUUAAUAGAGCCUCAUAUUACUCCAUGCAAGAACUUAUAUCAAAAUUUGAAAAACCCACCACCCUCAACCGUUACGCACGUACUCAAUGGUUCUUAUUCAUAUUUUUUUAUAAUUCAUUGACGGUGAUUGGUCCCAAAUGUUACUGAAAUCCAUAAAAUUUGUUUAACUAAGGAAUGGUACAAAAAUUGUGGGUUGCGUUCAAAGAGUCGGAAGUUUACAUUAUUUGAUAAUCACACAAUGUUUUAUGUUUAGAAUAUAAUUUGAAAAACCACCACUAAUAAGCUCCAUUCAUGGAUAUUUAUCUCUAUACUUCUACAUAGAUAAUUAAAUAUAUGAAGUAAUAAGUAGAUAUGAUUUUUUUUUUAAAUGAGUUUUGACUUUAUCAUGAUUAUACUAUAUGUAUAGGUUCUUCUUAGCAAGAGCUAUUUCAAAUCCUGGGUCCAAGUCAUGGAUAACUAUAGAUUGCUUAAGGGCGCUAUCGUUGGAGCAUUUUAUGUCAGCUAUUGUCGGGGCAAUAAAACAAUCAAAUUUAUAAUUAUAAAUUUGAUAAGGAAUGAAAAUAUGAAGUGAUCAAUGAUCAUACAAUACUUUAUACUAUUUAAUAAUGUAAUAACUUUAUGUAUGACGUCCAUUAGAGUUAUGACGUAUUAUAAUUUUGAAUCAUGAAUACAAAAAUAUAUAACAUUAAGUUUAAAUUAAUAAAUUAUCACAUAACCGUAUUCAUGAUCGAAACAGGACUUUUAGUGCUUGUUUGAAACGUAAAUUAUUCAACCAAAAAGUUUAGUCUAUCAUCUGACAAAAUUACAUAAGCAUGUCAUUAACCAAUCAUGAUAUUUAAAUAUUUUUGUUGUUACAGAUAAAUAAUAAGCGAUAAUUAUUAAUGGCUAACAAGAUACAAUUCAUAACAUAACUUUGCCCCCCACCCCCAGAACAGCUGACUCAUAAAUCACUACUGCAACGCCAUCAACAUAAACUUCGUCACUCUAUAUAUUCUCUAUGGUCCGAGUUUUGCCUAAAUUCAUAUAUUUCUAAAACAUAUACAAGUCCAAAGAGAGCCCUUCCUUAUUAGAGACAUCGUCUAUCAUUGGAAUGAAAUGAUUGAGGUUACUCAUGACCAGAAGUAUAGGACAGUCCCAGAUACAGGGCAACACAAGUGGUAUUAACCGCCUAAGAAAGUUGCAUGCCUCCAAGAAAAGUUGUUUCAAUUUAACUUUUAUUAUAGCGUAAUAUGUUAUAGUCAAGUUAUAUAGAUAUACUAUAAUUGAGCGUUAUGCUACGCUCCUCCAUAAAGAAAUGCAUGACGCCGGAUUGAACAAGGGCAGUGCAUAUCUUCAAUCCUUCUUUUGAGAUAAGAUCCUAAAGUAUAUUCUCAUAAGGCAAUUGAUUGAAGAUUGAAAUAUGUUGAUUCAAGAAAAAUGUUUAAUGGUCUUCUUACGUUCAAUCCCGUUCUUGAUCCUUAGAAAUGGAUGAAAUAUAUGUGGUUCGAAUUCUUCCUUCAUCUUUCAGUAUGGUAUGUAUCCCAAAAUUGCAACUCAUAAUGAUAAUUGAUAAACACCCUAAUCUUCAAAAUUAAAUGAUUAUUUAUUAAUUAUUGACUACUGUAAUUUCUGCAAAUGAAAAGAAAAAAAGGAAGAAGUGCAGUAAACAUUGCACAUCCCUUCUAUUAGAUGUUCUUGUGAACUUAAAAAAGAAUGGCCGGGAUAGGUAUUCUGAUGAAAAAUCCUGUCCAUCCAUUCUCUGGUAUCCAUGUCAAAGGAAACGUCAUGAGCAUUAUUAUUUCUCUCCUCCAAAUCUUUCUUCAAAUUGUUAAUGUAACAUGCCCAUUCCACACUGGAUGUUCAUCUUUACUUAAACAUAACUAAAGUUUAUAGUUGAAGACAAUGGAACACUCUUUCGUAUAUAUGAUCAUCUCAAUAUUUUCUUACUCUAUGUUUGGAAGUUCUAUUAUUUACAUGCAGAGUGGUUUAAACAGUCUCAUAAUGGCUAACGGAGCUCGAUGCCCUACUUGGUUCAAUGAUUUACACCGACCUAUAUAAUAACUGGAUACUCAAUAGGCAAAGAAAAGGAGAAUCAGCAGUCAGCUGUUGGCAGCCAAGUUAGGUACCUAUAAUUUGCAUAUGAAGAUAUAUACGAGACUUUUUCUCUCACUUCGAAAAUUGGAGAUAUAGUGAGAUUCUCGAAGCUGUACAAGACUUAAGAUAAGGGUAAGGUUCCAGUUCUUCUCCUUGCCCCUUUAAUCCAAAUGUGUUUAUGUUCCAUGUCGUCUGUUAAUACAUAUAAUUGGAAUUCUUUUUUUAGUUAAAGCACUCUUACAUUUUCAACGUUGAGUAUCUACACUCACUUACAUCUUGCUCCGUGACCUUAUCCUUCUCAUUGAUAACAAAUGUUAUACAAUAAAGUCAGUGUUCGAAGCCAUGUGGCAUCAGAACCAACAAUAAACUAAAAUCAUUUUAUUACAACAAUCAAUUUGCUACUAUUUAUUUAUAGAAAAUACAAAUAUAAUGCACACAUGAUAUUUAA